rnacentral:rRNA from 1 species
AUUGAACGCUGGCGGCAUGCCUUACACAUGCAAGUCGAACGGUAACGGGCCUUCGGGUGCCGACGAGUGGCGAACGGGUGAGUAAUAUACCGGAACGUGCCCAGUAGUGGGGGUUAGCCCGGCGAAAGCCGGCUUAAUACCGCAUACGACUUACGGGCGAAAGGGGGGGAUCGCCAGACCUCUCGCUAUUGGAGCGGCCGAUAUCAGAUUAGGUAGUUGGCUGGGUAAAGGCCUACCAAGCCUGCGAUCUGUAGUUGGUCUGAGAGGACGACCAUCCACACUGGGACUGUGACACGGCCCAGACUCCUACGGGAGGCAGCAGUGGGGAAUUCUGGGCAGUGGGGGCAACCCUGAUCCAGCAAUGCCGCGUGAAGGAAGAAGGCCUUCAGGUUGUAAACUGCUUUUGUCAGGGAAGAAAUCCUCUGGGUUAAUACCUCGGGGGGAUGACGGUACCUGAAGAAUAAGCACCGGCUAACUACGUGCCAGCCGCCGCCGGAAAAC